CCUACGGGUGGCUGCAGUGGGGAAUAUUGGACAAUGGGGGCAACCCUGAUCCAGCCAUGCCGCGUGUGUGAAGAAGGCCCUCGGGUUGUAAAGCACUUUCAGUGAGGAAGAACGCCUGGUGGUUAAUACCCAUCAGGAAAGACAUCACUCACAGAAGAAGCACCGGCUAACUCCGUGCCAGCAGCCGCGGUAAUACGGAGGGUGCGAGCGUUAAUCGGAAUUACUGGGCGUAAAGCGCGCGUAGGUGGCUUGAUAAGCCGGUUGUGAAAGCCCCGGGCUCAACCUGGGAACGGCAUCCGGAACUGUCAAGCUAGAGUGCAGGAGAGGAAGGUAGAAUUCCCGGUGUAGCGGGGAAAUGCGUAGAGAUCGGGAGGAAUACCAGUGGCGAAGGCGGCCUUCUGGACUGACACUGACACUGAGGUGCGAAAGCGUGGGUAGCAAACAGGAUUAGAUACCACAGUAGUC
rnacentral:rRNA from 1 species